CACCCGACCCAAAGUCCCAAACAAUCCAAUCCGUCCCGUGAGCUACCCACCCACCCACAUCACAUUUCUCCUCCUUCCCAUCGCUGCGCCGCCGUCCCUCUCCCUCCCGGCAGAUACCGACACGCCGGCGGCGGCAGCUUCUCCCAUCGCUUUGAGCUCCGGCACGACGUCUUCGCGGGGCUCCAAUCGCGCCGCCUCCUAGUCUCCCCUCCGCCUCGCAGCGCAACCUCCCUCUCCCGACCCACCACCCCUACCACCUAGACAACCACCCCACGGACGAGUAUGCGCCGCCAGCCAUGCUCGCGCUCGUGGUGGUAGCCGGCCCAGCAACGGAGAUCGAGUCGUGGACCUCCACGGGUCGACCUGGUGGCCGGUGGAACCCUAGCGCCGGGCCUGCGGGCCGGCGUCGAGGACGACCUCGCCCAGCAUCGCGCCGCUUCUCGAGGCCCACCUCGUACCUCGCCCGGCAGGCUGGUCGGUGUAGCCCGCCUCCUGCUGCUUCCGGCCGUCGACGGUCCUGUCCGGCAAGACCCUGCCGUCCUGGCUCCUCCAGGUGCGCCGCCGCUGCUGCGACAAGGAGGCCACCCUGUGCUUCUCGGACCGGUGGCCGUCCUCCCCCUCCGCCUCGAAAUCUCCCCAGACCAGUACCCAUGACAGAGGCAGCCCUGCCCGCGUUCGUCCAUGUGGUGGCCGGCCGACGGGCCGAGCCAUGGCGAGCGAGCGAGGACGGGGCAAACAAGAUAAGGGCAGGGGAGGCGCGGAGAUCCAUGGUGGUCCUUCACUCCUUCUUUCGGCCGGGGAGGAGCAAGAUGGCGCCACGCUUCCGGCUGGAGGGGUGCAGAAGCUUGCGGCCGAUGCAGGGAAGUGCGGAGCUACUGUUGCCGGUCGCUUUGACCAUCUGCUCUGCUGCUGGCCAGCACUCCAGGGGCCUCUGCAAGGCCAGCGAGAACCGCUUCAGCCUUGGAGCUAGGGGUGGCAAGGUCUGCCUCGUCUACAUCAACCAAGAUGACGUGUAGGUUAAAAUCGUAUCGGAGGAGGAGGAGCUGAAGGGUGUGAAGCUGGGUUACUGGGAAGAGCAGGUGCGGUAACAGACAUCACCCACGACAUCCAUAAGUGCAUCGGGUUGAAAUCUUAUCGGAGGAGGAGGAGCUGAAGGGCGUGAAGCGGGGUUACCGGAAGAGCAUGCGCCAUGACAAAUGUCAUCCACGACAUCCAGAAAUGAACCGAUUAGGCGCUCCGGUGGCUGCCAAUGGACUACGUUGUAUCCAUCAAGUGCAGCGCGGCUCCUGCUGAUUUCUCUUCUCCGAGGCCCUUGCCUAUCAGGCUGAUAUAUGGUGGUGUUUUUGCAAUGGCUAGGAAGGAGGUAUUUGGUAACGCCAUGAUGAACCAAGUUGGCUGGGAAGGAGCAACACUUGAGGAUGGGGUGAGCCUUUCUCAGACAGUGCCUACAACGACGAUGGAUAAAUGCCAGAAGGCCUCUGAAGGCUCCAUAAUCUGAGCACCUGUGGGAGAAAGAUUGAAGGGAGGCGUUGUGCAGUUCGCCAGGUGGGUGGCAACCACAGUCCUCCUGCUCAAGCCUCUCUACCACCCGGACAAACACGCCAAGAGCGCCGCUACACGGGCAAGUUUGCAGGUGACCACUGCCGGCGGGAGAGGGGCUCGCCCCGGCUCAGGGAUGGGGACAGGGAGGCACAGACUACAAUAUUGUUGUUGCUUGCUCAGGCUGCUGAUGCUGGCAGUCUAGCCGGAGCUGCUGUGGUUGACAACGCCCCACGUCUUCUGCCGCUUGCCACAACUCCGACCAAUCGCUCCUGCCGCCAGCCAUGUCCAUGACUAAUAACGACCCUGCCAACUUCAGCAAGCACCAAGCUAGCCUGAAGGUGGGCCAGACCAUAGCCAAGAUAUGGGGCUUCCCACCAAGUGUCAUGAGCUUGUGACCAACCAGCACUUCCGUGACCUGCAACAGAAAAAAAUCUGUGAUCAAGUGUCAGUCUUUUUUUCGCAUCUAGAGGCGUUACUUUGGCCUUGAGGAUAUUACUUAUGAUCUGUUCGUGCAGAUGAUGUGUAGUCCAACUUUGGGCAGAUGAUGUUACCAGGUCAAUCAGAUCUUUUGUUAUUAAUGGCGGCGGGAGGUGAAGCCUUGGAGCAUGUUUAUGAGAAGCGUGGUGCCAAUAUUUUGUUUGGCCUGGGUUUUAAUUUGCAGAUGCAGUCCAAGAUUAUUCUGGCUCUCCCCCUCUUUCUUAAUUUCGGUAGGGCUGCAUCCCGGCGUCCGCCGUCUGGCAUGUUUUCAUAAUUUUGUUGACUGGAUUGUUUUACAGGUAUCCAAGUAAGUGGUGCUUGCAUUUAACCCCUGGGAUAUACUUACAUAGUUACAUAUGGAGUAAACAAAAAUGAAUACAACAUCCUUGUUCAAAUAGUUUAUGGAUAUAGCUUGCUCAACUUUCACUGGCGAUACAACAAUCAGUACACAGUUGUGGCUCUCUUGCUUCGAUAUUCAUCAUUUAGUGCAGCUUCAUUAUCUUGAUCGGUGUGAAUUGUGGUUUAUAGGUUGUCUAGUUUCCGUGAAUGCUAUUCUGAUAUGCCAGUCAAUAUAGCUUAUGUAGAUUUACCUAUCCAUGUUUAUUUGUGCAAGAACAUGAAUGAAGUGAGUUUGGCAUCUUGAAGUCAUUUAACAUUCUAAUCUCUUAUAGCACAAGGGGUACUUGGCAUUUGUGUUGCAUAACAUAGCCUUUUUUUUUCUUUUGGCGUUUGGCUAUUUUAAAAUGAGCAUCUGAUUUUCCUAUUAGUUAAAAAUAGAUUUGCUGAUUGGGUAUAUUUUGGUACUUAUCUUUUGCUUGGACGAUGACUAUAUGGAGAACAACCUCAAUAUUAUCUUGUGCUUGGACGAUGACUAUUGCCGAGUAGACUCCCGAUCAAGGACCCUGACCUGAUAGCAGCAUUCAGUGACCCAGAGAUUAUGGCCGCUCUUCAGAUUGUGAUGCGCAAACCUGCCAACUUCGACAAGCACCAAGCCAACCUGAAGGUGGGCCCCAUCAUAGCCAAGAUGAAUGGGCCCUCUUACUGAGUGUCGUGACCAUGUGACCAACUAGCAUUUCCGCGACCUGCGAAAGAAGGAAUUCUCCGGCCAAGUGGUGUCUUUUUUGUGCAUCUGGAGCGACACUUUGAUCUUGAGGAUCUUACUUAUGCUCUGUUUCUUGUUAGUAGCUCGUAGAAGACAAUUUGGGAUGAUGAUGGUUGUGGGUUUUGUUUGUACUGUUGAAAUGCCUGGUAUAUAUCUUGGUGAAGGAGAAUGGAUGUUUUUGCUCA